CCCUUAGAUGUUCUGGGCCGCACGCGCGCUACACUGACGGAGGCAGCGAGCAUGUCCUUCGCCGAGAGGUGUGGGGAAUCUUGUGAGUCUCCGUCGUGCUGGGGAUAGAUGGUUGCAAUUGUCGAUCUUGAACGAGGAAUUCCUAGUAAGCGCGAGUCAUCAGCUCGCGCUGAUUACGUCCCUGCCCUUUGUACACACCGCCCGUCGCUACUACCGAUUGGAUGGUUUAGCGAGAGCCUUGGAUUGGAGCCCGGGUGGUCAGCGAUGGCCGCCCGGGAGUCCCUGAGAAAUUGCUCCAGCUUGAUCAUCUAGAGGAAGUAAAAGUCGUAACA
rnacentral:rRNA from 1 species